UCGGGGGAUGACGGUACCGGAAGAAUAAGCACCGGCUAACUACGUGCCAGCAGCCGCGGUAAUACGUGAGGGUGCGAGCGUUAAUCGGUAAUUACUGGGCGAUAAAGCGUGCGCAGGCGGUAUUGCUAAGACCGAUGUGAAAUCCCCGGGCUCAACCUGGGAACUGCAUUGGUGGACUGGCUGGCUAGAGUGAUGGACAGAGGGGGGUAGAAUUCCACGUGUGAGCAGUGAAAUGCGUAGAGAUGUGGAGGAAUACCGAUGGCGAAGGCAGCCCCCUGGGCCAAUACUGACGCUCAUGCACGAAAGCGUGGGGAGCAAACAGGAUUAGAUACCCUGGUAGUCCACGCCCUAAACGAUGUCAACUAGUUG
rnacentral:rRNA from 1 species